AAGUCAACAACCAGUGCCAAGGAGUGUUCAGACUGGUGAAGGUACCUGUCUCUGAGCAGAGGGAGGUGUCCAAAGCAUUUCUCUACUACUUGUUGACUGGGCGACAUAUUGCAAACUGUUUUUAAACUACCUAAACCAGAAAAAUUAUUUCAGUGACUAUAAGGAAGAAAAUGGCCUUCAACAACAAUGAAGGAAUAAUUUUCAAAUGGAAAUGAGCAAUUCUGCCUGAGAAAGAAGGGAAUCCAGCUCACAUGCCCAUACCAUUGUCAGCUUUUGUGGCAUAACCCACACUGCAGCAUGUCCUCUUGAUCGCUUUAUGCCCUAA